CCUACGGGAGGCAGCAGUGGGGAAUAUUGCUCAAUGGGGGAAACCCUGAUCCAGCGACGCCGCGUGAGUGAAGAAGUAUUUCGGUAUUUAAAGCCCUAUCAGCAGGGAAGAAAAUGACGGUACCUGUCUAAGAAGCCCCAGAUAACUACGUGCCAGCAUCCGCGGUCAUACGUAGGGGGCAAGCGUUAUCCGGAUUUAAUGGGUGUGAAGGGAGCGUAGGCGGGGAAGCAAGUCUGAUGUGAAAGGCAGGGGCUCAACCCCCGGACUGCAAUGGAAACUGUUUUGCGGGAGUGCAGGAGAGGUAAGCGGAAUGCGUAGUGUAGCGGUGAAAUGCGUAGAUAUUAGGCGGAACACCAGUGGCGAAGGCGGCUUACUGG
rnacentral:rRNA from 1 species